UACAGAGGGUGCAAGCGUUAAUCGGAAUUACUGGGCGUAAAGCGUGCGUAGACGGUAGCGUAAGUCGGGUGUGAAAUCCCUGGGCUCAACCUGGGAAUGGCAGUGGAUACUGGAAAGCUAGAGUGCGGUAGAGGGUAGUGGAAUUCCCGGUGUAGCAGUGAAAUGCGUAGAGAUCGGGAGGAACACCAGUGGCGAAGGCGGCUACCUGGACCAGCACUGACACUGAGGCACGAAAGCGUGGGGAGCAAACAGG
rnacentral:rRNA from 1 species